CUUUCUUCUUUUAAAUGAGGGCACCAUUGCCAGUCUAAUCCCAAAAAUUGGCCUACGGUUGAAAUUCCUCAAACGCUACAGAGAAUUUAAUGACAAUUCUGUGCCAGCACCAGCACCAGCACCACCCACUACUGAGCAACAACAAACAGCAGAGGAACACCAGGCAACAGUGGUGGAAGAGACUAUGCCUCCUAUUCCUAUUGUUCUACAAGUUGUUCCUGUGUUUGUAGACCAACAGCAG